rnacentral:misc_RNA from 1 species
GUAGGAAAUAUACCAAAUUUUUCUUUGAUUCUCCAGAUGUAGUUGGGGACCUCAACCUUGCAAAUAAUUCCUGAAUAAAAGUACUGUCAUCCUUUAACAAGGUAACAACAACUGCAUUAUUUGCAUGAAUUAUGGAAUUAAGAUUUGCAACUGUAGCCUCAUCCAACACUCUAGCCAAAACAACAUCCUUCAAAUAGCCAACUCUGUAUGUUUGGUGUAUUUUUGAAAGGACAAUAGGAUCUUUGAUUGGUAUGGCCUCCUUGAAAACAACAUGCUCUUUCAGAAAAUUACGAUGAUGUUGGGCAUGAGGAACCUCAGGGUCAUACUCAAGUGAACCAAUNNNNNNNNGAUUAAAAGAACCGACAAACUUGAGAAACUAAACAAAGCAAAUAACUGCAACAAAAAGAAG